rnacentral:ncRNA from 1 species
AGCCCUAUCAUUAGCUCCAAGUUAACUUAUACAUGCAAGUAUCCUCGCCCCGGUGAGAAUGCCCUCUAUAUCUAACCUCGAUCUAAAGGAGCAGGCAUCAAGCACACUUACAUAACAACAGUAGCUCAAGACGCCUUGCUAAACCACACCCCUACGGGAUACAGCAGUAAUUAAAAUUAAGCAAAUAAACGAAAGUUUGACUAAGUUAUUCUUUUAAUAGGGUUGGUAAAUUUCGUGCCAGCCACCGCGGUCAUACGAUUAACCCUAGUUAAUGAUAAACGGUGUAAAGCGUGAUUAAGAGUAAAAUUGAAUAAGAUUAAGCCCCUGCUAAACUGUAAAAAGUCUUAGCUCUAAUAAAAAUAAAAUACGAAAGUAGUCUUAAAAUAUCUGAACUCACGAUAGCUAAGACCCAAACUGGGAUUAGAUACCCCACUAUGCUUAGCCUUAAACAUAAAUGCUCAACAAACAAGAGCACUCACCAGAGUACUACUAGCAACAGCCUGAAACUCAAAGGACUUGGCGGUGCUUUAUAUCCCUCUAGAGGAGCCUGUUCUAUAAUCGAUAAACCCCGAUAAACCUCACCACCUUUCGCAAUAUUCAGUCUAUAUACCGCCAUCUUCAGCAAACCCUAAUAAGGCCUCACAGUAAGCACAAGAAUCACACAUAAAUACGUUAGGUCAAGGUGUAACCCAUAAGGUGGGAAGAAAUGGGCUACAUUUUCUAUAACCUAGAACACCUCUACGAUAACUUUUAUGAAACUUAAAAGUCCAAGGCGGAUUUAGUAGUAAGUUAAGAAUAGAGAGCUUAACUGAAUUGGGCAAUAAAGCACG